GCGGCGCACAUAAGACAUGCAAGUCGAACGGACUUAACCAUUAGUUUACUAUUGGAGCGGUUAGUGGCGGACUGGUGAGUAACACGUAAGCAACCUGCCUAUCAGAGGGGAACAACAGUUAGAAAUGACUGCUAAUACCGCAUAUGCCUUAAUUACCACAUGGUAAUAGAGGGAAAGGAGUAAUCCGCUGAUAGAUGGGCUUGCGUCUGAUUAGAUAGUUGGUAAGGUAACGGCUUACCAAGUCGACGAUCAGUAGCCGGACUGAGAGGUUGAACGGCCACAUUGGGACUGAGAUACGGCCCAGACUCCUACGGGAGGCAGCAGUCGGGAAUAUUGCGCAAUGGAGGAAACUCUGACGCAGUGACGCCGCGUGCAGGAAGAAGGUUUUCGGAUUGUAAACUGCUUUAGACAGGGAAGAAACAAGACAGUACCUGUAGAAUAAGCUCCGGCUAACUACGUGCCAGCAGCCGCGGUAAUACGUAGGGAGCAAGCGUUAUCCGGAUUUAUUGGGUGUAAAGGGUGCGUAGACGGGAAUGCAAGUUGGUUGUGAAAUCCCUCGGCUCAACCGAGGAAUUGCAACCAAAACUAUAUUUCUUGAGUGCUGGAGAGGAAAGUGGAAUUCCUAGUGUAGCGGUGAAAUGCGUAGAUAUUAGGAGGAACACCAGUGGCGAAGGCGACUUUCUGGACAGUAACUGACGUUGAGGCACGAAAGUGUGGGGAGCAAACAGGAUUAGAUACCCUGGUAGUCCACACCGUAAACGAUGGAUACUAGGUGUAGGGGAUGAAUAAUCUUCUGUGCCGUCGCAAACGCAGUAAGUAUCCCACCUGGGGAGUACGGCCGCAAGGUUGAAACUCAAAGGAAUUGACGGGGGCCCGCACAAGCAGUGGAGUAUGUGGUUUAAUUCGACGCAACGCGAAGAACCUUACCAGGGCUUGACAUAUACAUGAAAAUCUAAGAGAUUAGAUCCCUCUUCGGAGCAUGUAUACAGGUGGUGCAUGGUUGUCGUCAGCUCGUGUCGUGAGAUGUUGGGUUAAGUCCCGCAACGAGCGCAACCCCUGUUCUUAGUUGCCAGCAUGUAAAGAUGGGCACUCUAGGGAGACUGCCAGGGAUAACCUGGAGGAAGGUGGGGAUGACGUCAAAUCAUCAUGCCCCUUAUGAUUUGGGCUACACACGUGCUACAAUGGCGUAAACAAAGGGAAGCAAGACAGUGAUGUGGAGCAAAUCCCAAAAAUAACGUCCCAGUUCGGACUGUAGUCUGCAACCCGACUACACGAAGCUGGAAUCGCUAGUAAUCGCGAAUCAGAAUGUCGCGGUGAAUACGUUCCCGGGUCUUGUACACACCGCCCGUCACACCAUGGGAGUCAGCAACGCCCGAAGUCAGUGACCCAACUCGCAAGAGAGGGAGCUGCCGAAGGCGGGGCAGGUAACUGG
rnacentral:rRNA from 1 species